CUAGCUCUAAAACUGUAACUUCUACCGAAGAAUCACACGUGGAAGUGGAGCCAAUAGAACCAAGGCGAAAAAUUACACGUCAAUCAGUCGCAGAAGCUAUAUUAAAAUAAGGUCCUGCCUAAAAGAAACGCGCAUGAACUCCCAGAGAUAUGUAUUAUUUGUGGAAGAGACGCCUCGUGGUUCUCACUAGACAAGGUAUGGUCAUUUUGAUAGGUAUAAUACGAGAGCAAUGUGCACAACAUUCUCGGGUUUGGUUUUAAAAUAUAUUGAUUUGUGAUCAAUUAAGUUUAUUUAGGGUAAAGCACUAGUUUCUAUGUUACAAAUAUCCAACCUUAGCUUGUUAUUAGCAGAUAUUUAGUUUAAUAAUUUUGUUUCACACUAGGUAACUAAGAAGAGAAGAAGAACCCCACUCAUGUUGGCAGAAACAAUUGAUGCUGGUCUUCUACGUACAGCUGCUGAGAGAAAGAAUGAUGAACGGAUACUCGUGCAAAUCCGG